UGUAAAGUCCACUAUGGCAGUGCGGGAAUAAGCUUCGGGCGACUGCGUCAACAACUUAUCACCCCCAGGGGGCUUAGUUUAGCUUAGUCUAGAGAUGGGGGAGAGGGUGCCCAACCAUUUGGCAUUUGGCCAAAACAGGCCCUUCAUCUCAAGAGCGCCCGCUUCAUAAACCCGUUUUGGUGCACACGCAAUUGUUACCCCUCUCCCCCCAACAGUACACUCAGUCCGCGGACACAUGCACACUGCCACAUGGUUACCACUCCAGCAACAUACAUACAUACAUACAUACAUACAUACAUACAUACAUACAUACAUACAUACAUACAUACACACCACCGACACAAUUUACUAAAAAUUAGUGGUGAGAGGUUACCCUGUUACCCCGCAGACGAUGCAAGACAUCUUAAAGUGUCAUGUUCCGUACACACUCAAUAUGCAGAUUCCUCCGUCCAAUAAUAAUAACAACGAUAAUAAUACCAAAUCGUUGCUGCUGCUGCUCCUCCGUCUUGCUCGUUUGUGUAACACACGCACACACACAUUACACAUUACACGCACACAGGGAGGAGCCGCCGCGCUUGACCCAAUACACCGACAUGCGACAUACAUACAUACAGACAGGCGGCUGGCAGAAGUUAAGGCCUGACUUCUGCUCCCAGUCGAUCCAGUCGACCCGGGUUCAAAUCCGCCUGCCAGCUCCUCGGGUGUUUGAGGAGUGAUGAAAUGGGAGGUGGCCCCCCAUCAUAUGGACGGUGUAGGACGUGAUAAUAUCAACUUGCGAGCUGACCAGGAACUAAGUUGAUGCGCCGUUGAUCCGCUAGAUUUGGUUGGAUGCUGGUGGUGAGUUGCCGAACCCAACGAAUACAUUCUGAAGUCGGAUGGGUUGACGGAUUAGGGUGCCCCUCUAGCAGGGGAGAGCAGGGACUGCCCCGGGAAAGGGGGCCGCUGGCGAAGUUAACCACCCUGUAACAACAUACAUACAGACAGACACACGUAAACGGAAAGCACAUCUACAACAGUGCGGCAGUCCAGCAGGUCCAUGAUUGGAGUGACGCUCAAUGACUACACAUUGUUACAUACAUAUUAGGGUUUUAGGGUUUAUAUCCUAUACACAUUAGGAUUAUUUUCAGAAAGCAGAAAUCCUAAAAGGGUUCUUCAUUCGUGCUUUGCCAUCUGCCCGCCGCCCCCGCCACCGCCACCGCCAGCGGCACUCGUCAAUGCCGCCUUCAACUCCUCCUCUGGACUAAGACGACGAGUUCCAACAUCCCUGCAACCGCCGCUCGGCCCAUGUGCCGUAC
rnacentral:lncRNA from 1 species